AUGAUGAGUGAUUUUCUUUUGAAACCUGGAUAUUUUUGUGUUAUCUUGUGAGACUCAGGAUCUUAUUUUAAUCCUCUCUUUUAGCUUCUUGACACUAUCCAGCAGGGGAAUGAGGGUAUUACGUGCUUGCUGCCACAUAGAGAGAGAAGUCUGGGUUCCCCACUGGCUUUUAUUUACACCUGAGGGGCAGGGUACCAUUUGUUACUGCUGGGCAGGAGUGAAAGUCCUGACUGCCAGAGUGGUCUCCAUGGACACCAUGAUGGGGGCGGCCUCUUUGGGGCAGGACAUGGAUGCUCGGGAUGCCCAUGUUGUCUCCACCAUCUCCACUGAUACCAAGAAGAAAGAGGGGAGUUCAUCACCAGCUAGAAGGCAUCAAAGUUCCAGCUCCCUUCUGGGCCUUGUUGGAUACCACUCUGGCGGAGGUGUUGGGCCCCUUGUUUCAGCCUCAUGAGGGUAGAUGCCUGGGCUCUCCACUUGGUCUUUACUAUCCUGGGUGGUUCUGAGUCCUCAGUUUUUGUUUGUUUCUUUGCUAUUUGCUGUUUUGCGAUGUUUGGCUGGAGUAAAAUAAUGAUUGUCUAACAGUUUCCUGUCUAGAUGAUGCCCCUUUCCUGGUUCUUUGACUGCAUAGAAUAGGAUCCUGUUGGAGCUUCAUUUGCCCAUGUCUUGGGUUUCUGGCUUGGGACUUCUUUAGUUUCAUGUCUGAGAAAACCCGGGGAACCCACCACUGUGUCAUUCCUCAUGUCUGGAGGUCCCUGGCUGGUCUGUCUUCUCCACCUUUCAGAAUCCUAUGUUUAUUUAAUAUAUUAUAGACAUAGUUUUUAAUUAUACUUAGAUGGAUAGGGAACAUAAUCCUCUUUUGUACUCCUUGGAGUAGAAUUCUUACUGACUAUUUAUCAGUAGGAUUUUAAUUAAGGGCAGGGAGCAUCCCAAAGCAGCAGGCAUUGGUGUCAGCCCUUGGAGGCCAUGCAGAAGACCACUUUAAUGAGUUCCUGGACUCAGGAAUGUGCCAUUCCUUUCAACCUCUCAGGAAGGAUUGGGAUACAUUCUUCCACCUUCAAAAAUGAAGAGCAAGAAUUUUCAAGGGCAGCCACAUCCUUUUUACUCAGGACCCUUGAGGUUCAGAGCAGGAGCACUGUUAGGAUGAGGGCUUCUGAGAAGGCAGGAGGAGAGAAGCUGUGACUUGAAAACAGAUGAAUCCAGAAGAGUCAAAUACCCAACUGUUCCUCACCUAAGCUGGACACAGGGUGUAUACAACGACAACGAGUAAGAUGUGCAAC